UACGAAGGGGGCUAGCGUUGCUCGGAAUGACUGGGCGUAAAGGGCGCGUAGGCGGCCACCGCAAGUCGACUGUGAAAUCUCCGGGCUUAACCCGGAAAGGUCAGCCGAUACUGCGGGGCUAGAGUACAGAAGGGGCAACUGGAAUUCUCGGUGUAGCGGUGAAAUGCGUAGAUAUCGAGAGGAACACCUGCGGCGAAGGCGGGUUGCUGGGCUGAUACUGACGCUGAGGCGCGAAAGCCAGGGGAGCGAACAGG
rnacentral:rRNA from 1 species